GGGGGAUAUUGCACAAUGGGGGAAACCCUGAUGCAGCGACGCCGCGUGGAGGAAGAAGGUUUUCGGAUUGUAAACUCCUGUCGUUAGGGACGAUAAUGACGGUACCUAACAAGAAAGCACCGGCUAACUACGUGCCAGCAGCCGCGGUAAAACGUAGGGUGCAAGCGUUGUCCGGAAUUACUGGGUGUAAAGGGAGCGCAGGCGGACCGGCAAGUUGGAAGUGAAAACUAUGGGCUCAACCCAUAAAUUGCUUUCAAAACUGCUGGCCUUGAGUAGUGCAGAGGUAGGUGGAAUUCCCGGUGUAGCGGUGGAAUGCGUAGAUAUCGGGAGGAACACCAGUAGCGAAGGCGACCUACUGGGCACCAACUGACGCUGAGGCUCGAAAGCAUGGGUAGCAAACAGGAUUAGAUACCCUGGUAGUCCAUGCCGUAAACGAUGAUUACUAGGUGUUGGAGGAUUGACCCCUUCAGUGCCGCAGUUAACACAAUAAGUAAUCCACCUGGGGAGUACGACCGCAAGGUUGAAACUCAAAGGAAUUGACGGGGGCCCGCACAAGCAGUGGAGUAUGUGGUUUAAUUCGACGCAACGCGAAGAACCUUACCAAGUCUUGACAUCCCUUGACGAUGCUGGAAACAGCAUUUCUCUUCGGAGCAAGGAGACAGGUGGUGCAUGGUUGUCGUCAGCUCGUGUCGUGAGAUGUUGGGUUAAGUCCCGCAACGAGCGCAACCCUUAUGGUCAGUUACUACGCAAGAGGACUCUGGCCAGACUGCCGUUGACAAAACGGAGGAAGGUGGGGAUGACGUCAAAUCAUCAUGCCCUUUAUGACUUGGGCUACACACGUACUACAAUGGCGUUAAACAAAGAGAAGCAAGACCGCGAGGUGGAGCAAAACUCAGAAACAACGUCCCAGUUCGGACUGCAGGCUGCAACUCGCCUGCACGAAGUCGGAAUUGCUAGUAAUCGUGGAUCAGCAUGCCACGGUGAAUACGUUCCCG
rnacentral:rRNA from 1 species